UGGCGGCGUGCCUAACACAUGCAAGUCGCACGUCCUCGGUCUUCGGACCGAGGGAGUGGCGGACGGGUGAGUAGCACGUGGGUGACCUACCUUGGGGUGAGGAAUACCGGCGCGAAAGCGCCGACAAUGCCGCAUAGGCUCGGGGCGACUCGAGCAAAGCUUCUUUCGGGGAGCGCCGCAAGAUGGGCCCGCGGCCGAUUAGCUGGUUGGUGGGGUAAUGGCCUACCAAGGCGACGAUCGGUAGCUGGUCUGAGAGGACGAUCAGCCACACUGGGAUUGAGAACGGCCCAGACUCCUACGGGGGGCAGCAGUGAGGAAUUUUCGGCAAUGGACGCAAGUCUGACCGAGCAACGCCGCGUGCAGGAAGACGGCCUUCGGGUUGUAAACUGCUUUUCGCUGGGACGAGAACGGACGGUACCAGCGGAAGAAGCCCCGGCUAACUACGUGCCAGCAGCCGCGGUAAUACGUAGGGGGCGAGCGUUGUCCGGCGUUACUGGGCGUAUAGCGCACGCAGGCGGUCCUGCCCGUUCUGGGUGACAGUGCUCGGCUUAACUGAGCAAGGAGC
rnacentral:rRNA from 1 species